GACGAACGCUGGCGGCGUGCUUAACACAUGCAAGUCGAACGGAAAGGCCCCUUUGGGGGUACUCGAGUGGCGAACGGGUGAGUAACACGUGAGUAACCUGCCCUCGACUUCAGGAUGACUUCAGGAAAGGGGGGCUAAUACCGGAUAGGAAUCCUUGCUGCAUGGUGGGGGUUGGAAAGCUUCGGCGGUUUUGGAUGGACUCGCGGCUUAUCAGCUUGUUGGUGGGGUAGUGGCUUACAAAGGCUUUGACGGGUAGCCGGCCUGAGAGGGCGACCGGCCACAUUGGGACUGAGAUUCGGCCCAGACUCCUACGGGAGGCAGCAGUGGGGAAUAUUGCAAAAUGGGAGGAAGCCUGAUGCAGCAACGCCGCGUGCGGGAUGACGGACUUCGGGUUGUGAAACGCUUUCAGCAGGGGCGAAGCUUGUGGUGACGGUACCUGAAGAAGAAGCACCGGCUAACUACGUG
rnacentral:rRNA from 1 species